ACUUAACUACCUGAUGCUGAGCUGGAUAGUCAUCUAACCAGCUGGUAAGCAGGUUUCUUUUGGGCUUUGCUCUCUGUCUUCCUGUCUGUUGGAUCCAGACUGACCAAGCAGCUGUCAUCUAUAGCCUUGCUGACUGUGAGAGAUGGUAUGGUAAAACAUCGUUUGGUGCUUAAGAUCUCAGUCCAGAAGUGACCCAAGUAAGUUACACUCAUAUGUAUGGUUUUGCUAAACAUCAUGGGUCCUGGGAAGUUCAAUCCUACAAAUGUACCUAGCCAGAGAGGAC
rnacentral:lncRNA from 1 species